rnacentral:lncRNA from 1 species
UGACUAGUAGUGUGAAAAUUUGAUGCUCAUCUGGCAUAAGUACAACUGAACGGUUUAGGCUCGUGAGACCCAUACAUCACUCUGAGGCGCUAGUUACAUUGCCGAUUUCAAAAAUAGCAGAGGUAAUAUAUACUCUGAUGCCACAUAUAUCUAUGAAGUAUGAAUUACUCCUGUUCUAGAACUCUAAAUCAAAUAAUAUCAGGGGAUAGCUAUUUGAGCGUUUGUAUGUAAUUAGUGCACUUUACAUGCCUUGUUUCCACCAUCCAUUUAUACAACUUGGAGUGGUGGGGAGAGGAACAUGUGUUAACGAAACAUAUAAAGCUUUUAUAUAUAGAUAAAUUUUGUUUCUACCACAGCCAUCCCCGUAAAAUUGAACACUAGCUUGAUGGUGCCAUCGACUAAUAUACAAGCCGGAUGUACCAACACAUCAACCAACUCCACUUAAGCACCUAUAUAGAAACUUAGCUUGCAACCAGGAAAAUGGUGUAGCAUCACCAUAAGUGCUGUUGCAUCACCAAAGAAGCCAACUGUGCUAUUAGACCCUAAAAAUUACAAAGAGGGGAUAACAUUAGUGACACACUUAUGGACCAGAUAAAAAAAGAGGACCAGAAACACAUUAUUGUCGUUGGUAACUAAGUAUUAUCACUUACUUCCCACUACCACUAAUUGUUGGCUCUCAACAAAAUGAGAAACCAACACCUCAGGAUAGUUGCAUUUUCCAUAGAAAAAAAAAUUAAAUAAAAGGAACACUGGCAAUGAGAUAAAAACCUAAGGAAAUCAUCACAUUUGGCAAAUCACGAUAGCAUGCACCAAAUGACAUUCCAUAGAGCACCAAUUUUAUCCAACUAGAUACACAUGACUAUGCUUUGACAAAUUGAGAAUAGACAGGUAUAAGGAAACUUCAAUCAUCGAAGAACAUUGUUCCUCUAUAUCAGAAGUUGACCCCAAAGCAGAGAUGCUAAGUGAUAUGGUGAAAGUCUUUGUACGUCCUCUGAUCACAAAAUGAAUGCACCACAACAUCAGCGCAUCCAUUUUUAAAUAACAGCACAACAUUUCAACAUGCAGAGUGUACCAACAUUGAGUGAACCAAUGCAGUCUUUUUAAACUAAUCGGUAAUCUAGUUCAAAAAAGGAUAAAAUUCUUUAGUCUACAACAUAAUCAGAGUAUCAAACUUGAAUCUCUUGUGUUCAUCGCUUCAUUGCAUUUAACAAUCAUGUAUAUGAGGAAGAAGCUUGUCCAACAUCGUUUGAGAUGAUUUGCACAUAAUACAGCACUGCAUAGCGGACGGUUAAAGCGUGCUGAUAGUGUCAAGAGAGAUCGGGGUAGACCAAACUUGACAUGGCAGGAGUGCGUAAAGAGAAAUCUGAAGGACUGAAAUAUCAGCAAAGAACUAGCCAUGGACAGGGGGAAGUUAGCUAUCCACGUGCCAGAGCCAUGAGCUGGUAUCGAGAUCUUAUGGGUUUCAGCUCUAGCCUACCCCAACUUGUUUGGGACUAAAGUCUUAGUUGUUAUUGUUGUUGUUGUUGUUGUUGUUGUUGUUGUUGUUGUAUAUGAGGAAGAAGCUCAUCAUGAUAAGGACCAAAACGAUGAGAAUGCAAUGAACCUUUGUGUUACCUUUACAACGUUGCAAAAUGGAGAAGCGUCUUCCUUCUUCUUGUUGGGCCCAAGUCGUAUUGUAAUUCAUCCAAUAUCCAUAUUAAGUUGUCAAUUCUGGCAGCUGGUCUCAACUUAUUUUAACAUUGGUUUCAUUUCUAUGAAAUGGAACCGGGGAGCUGAUCCCUGAUGAUCUAAGGAAAAUCUGGCAUUAACAGCUUGGUCCCUCAAAUGCUUUGUCUGCUGCAACAACCUUUUUGUUUCCACUUCCUGAUUCAAACUCCAAAAUAACCAAAAUGAAUUUCAUAAAAAAGGAAUUAUUUCAUCAAAUAUUUCGAUAGAAUACUACUUUUGCAUCAAUAUUUGAACUUUGAAUGUCUUAUUCCUCUACCCUUAGUAUUGAUAAAGUGAUAAAAUCUAUUUGACAUUGACCAGAUAAAACUUUAGCACAAGAUGAUUCAAAGAACUAUGUAUCUUCGUCUUAGUUUGGAGAUUCAUACAGCUUACUGAGAGCUCGGACUAUUAACACAGGAAGCAAGAUUUUUCUUACCAGCUUAAUUUCAUACUUGACGAACAAGUGCAUCACCCGAAUAUACUUUCCAUUUCCGUGUUUAAUCAUUACAGGCAAUAUGCAACGGAGAGGCAAUUUGAACCAUUUUGGUGGGCAUCACUGGUUGAAAAAAAAUCAACUUAAGAGUUUGAAGAGGCAGUGGAGCACAUCAAAAUACUAAAUAUCUAUUUUAGGAGUCAAAACUAGAUCACUUUUGGCACAACUUCAACAUUAUUGCAUAACAAAUUUCCUUCUGGAGGAAACCAAAACAAAAUAAGAAGUGCAAUCUCUAAUUACAUCUAUAAACAAUCUCUUUCACCAAAAUGCAGAAGGGGGUCACAAUAACAGACAACACAAUGAUGAACUAUGAAUUCGUACACGGGAUUGUCCUCGUUGGAAGGAACCAUAACAUGAAGCACAAAUCCGUACCUUUAUGCCCAAUAUUUUCUCUAGAACACAUUUGAGGUUGAUCAUCUUGUCCAGGUCUAACUAGCUGGGGUGCUCGUAAAAUCAGGCACUUCUCCC